rnacentral:lncRNA from 1 species
CUUGCGAAUUGUUUAACCACUCGGUAGUCAUUCGCAAAGUACUCCAUCAGAAUGGAGGGAACUUCAGCAAAAUCAGUAGGACAUCUGGUUCCAGUGACAUGUUGGUACCGAGUACGUCCCAGCAUAGAAUGCAUAGCAUGCCCCAUUUCAUGGAAGAGGUUCUCCAUCAUGCCAGGACUUAGUAGUGUUGGUGCAUUCCUUGUUGAAUGAGGUAGGCUAAGCAUAAGAACAACUACAGGCAGCUGGUACUCUCCAUUUUCCUUUAGCCUGCCUCCACGAACUGUGAAGUGACAAUCCUGAUGUGGUUUAUCUGGUCGUUGAAAGAAGUCACAGUAGAUGUAUCCCAGCAAACCUUCAUUUUCAUGAACAACAGCCAGCUUUCUAACAUCUUCAGACCAAACCUCUCCUCUCUGUGUUUGUUCAGCAUACAGGGAGAUCCCUAGGAGCUGACUGAACAAAGAAUUCAAACCUUCCAUGCAGGCCCCGAGAGAGAAGAACGGACAGUACAAGCCAGGAUCAAUGUUGUACCUCUCAGCAC